rnacentral:rRNA from 1 species
UACGGAGGAGGCAAGCGUUAUCCGGAAUUAUUGGGCGUAAAGAGCUCGUAGGCGGUUUGUCGCGUCUGCUGUGAAAACCCGAGGCUCAACCUCGGGCCUGCAGUGGGUACGGGCAGACUAGAGUGCGGUAGGGGAGAUUGGAAUUCCUGGUGUAGCGGUGGAAUGCGCAGAUAUCAGGAGGAACACCGAUGGCGAAGGCAGAUCUCUGGGCCGUAACUGACGCUGAGGAGCGAAAGCAUGGGGAGCGAACAGG